CUGAUAGCAGACUACUCCGAUCCGGAUCCGUUUUACCUCCGGCAGAUCCGCGCUACAGUCAGGUCUGUUUAGUGGAUCUGGUCCGGCUUCACUCCGGGUUCGGGUUAUGAUUGUGACUCACGUUCAGAUCCGUUUUACUGACGGUAAAUCCGCAUAACAGUCCGUCUCAUUUCACGCCUUCCAUAUGACUUCGGCACGGAGUCAGAUACCAGAUGUGAGUUCAGUGUCAGUUCAGUGUCGUUUUGCGGAUCCGGGCCGCAUCGGCGGAGCGGCACAGGAGCGGGAGAAAUUCAAACUCAGCGCGAGGACCAACUGACAUCUGCUGAAUCUGCGCUUCAGGGCUGCUGAGGGCUGGGGACCUGCCAGAUAAGGUGUAAUCAUUUACCCAUCAAAUCACCUAACAAGGAUGAGCCUGGAUCCUAACAGUACUUGAUGCACUGAGCAGUGACAUUAUACAUAGAGUAGUUAAGCAGGAUUUGGUAUCCGCAAAAUGGUUCGAGGUCCUCAGCCCUCGCCUCCCCCAGCACAGAGGAAAACUACCAAGGGCGGUACUCUCAUUAUAGGAGAUUCAAUUGUUAGACAUUUAAAAGUAUCUAAGAGUAAUGGCACAAUUUCAUGUCUUCCAGAUGCUUGCAUGCUGGUAGUCGGCAAGCGGCUCCCUGGGGCGCAUUGCCAAAGCAGGAACCCCGGCACCAUCGCCCUCCACGUGGGGAUGAGCUUUCGGGAGCGACCGGCCCCGUUCCACAGAGACAGGCUUCUCUCUGUGAACAUCGAGGCGGUGCUACGCUGAGACUGACUGUCUCUACCCAGUCACACCAGCCAAGUAGGCUGCACUGUAGUGGUGUUAAGUGUCCAAGAAUGCUCUCAUCAGUGGAGGCACAGCUGGCUGCAAAAAACGUCUGUGUCUGCAUGUUUAUAUUAUGUGAAUUAAAAAUGGUUUUAUUAUUAAAAUAAUUGUAUUAAUGCCUGUUGAUUUAUAAAUUGUUUAAUUGAAAUCAAAUUUUAUUUAAGUAGCUUAAUUAAGUAUUGCAUUUAUAACUGAUGGUAUUUUAUUUAAUUAGCUUAAGUAUUGCAUUUAUAAGUGAUGGUAUUUUAUUUUAAUUAGCUUAA